rnacentral:rRNA from 1 species
AGUUAUGGUUCCUUAGAUCGUACUAUCCUACUUGGAUACCUGUAGUAAUUCUAGAGCUAAUACAUGCACGGAAGCUCCGACCCCCGCGGGGAAGAGCGCUUUUAUUAGACCAAAACCAACCGGCCUUCGGGGGGCGACUCCCUGGGCCGUCCAAACUUUGGUGACUCUGGAUAACUUCGAGCGGAUCGCACGGCCUCUGCGCCGGCGACGUAUCUUUCAAAUGUCUGCCCUAUCAAGUUU